AUUGAACGCUGGCGGCAUGCCUAACACAUGCAAGUCGAGCGGUUGAAAGGAGCUUUCUCCUUUAUUCAGCGGCGGACGGAUGAGUAAUUCCUAGGAAUCUGCCUUGUAGUGUGGGAUAACGUCCGGAAACGGGCGCUAAUACCGCAUACGUCCUGAAUGAGUAAGAGGGGGAUCUUCGGACCUCACGCCAUUUGAUGAGCCUAGGUCGGAUUAUCUAGUUGGUGGGGUAAAGGCCUACCAAGGCGACGAUCUGUAACUGGUCUGAGAGGAUGAUCAGUCACACUGGAACUGGACCACGGUCCAGAAUCCUCCGGGAGGAAGCAGAGGGGAAUAUUGGAAAAUGGGCGAAAGCCGGAUGCAGCCAUGCCGCGUGUGUGAAGAAGUUCUUCGGAUUUUAAAGCACUUUAAGUUGGGAGGACGGGCAGUAAGUUAAUACCUUGAUGUUUUGACGUUACCAAAAGAAUAAGCACCGGCUAACUUCGUG
rnacentral:rRNA from 1 species